rnacentral:rRNA from 1 species
AACGAACGCUGGCGGCAGGCCUAACACAUGCAAGUCGAGCGAAGCCUUCGGGCUUAGCGGCGGACGGGUGAGUAACGCGUGGGAACGUGCCCUUUGGUACGGAAUAGCCCCGGGAAACUGGGAGUAAUACCGUAUGUGGUCGAGAGACGAAAGAUUUAUCGCCAAAGGAUCGGCCCGCGUUGGAUUAGGUAGUUGGUGGGGUAAUGGCCUACCAAGCCGACGAGCCAUAGCUGGUUUGAGAGGAUGAUCAGCCACACUGGGACUGAGACACGGCCCAUACUCCUACGGGAUGCAGCAGUGGGGAAUCUUAGACAAUGGGGGAAACCCUGAUCUAGCCAUGCCGCGUGAUCGAUGAAGGCCUUAGGGUUGUAAAGAUCUUUCAGUGGGGAAGAUAAUGACUGUAACCACAGAAGAAGCCCCGGCUAACUCCGUGCCAGCCGCCGCUGUAAAAC